rnacentral:rRNA from 1 species
UACAGAGGUCCCAAGCGUUGUUCGGAAUUACUGGGCGUAAAGGGCGCGUAGGCGGCCUUCUAAGUCGAACGUGAAAUCCCCGGGCUCAACCCGGGAACUGCGUCCGAUACUGGAAGGCUUGAAUCCGGGAGAGGGAUGUGGAAUUCCAGGUGUAGCGGUGAAAUGCGUAGAGAUCGUAAGGAAGACCAGUGGCGAAGGCGGGUCUCGUGGACAGUUCCGUGACACUGAGGCACGAAGGCCAGGGGAGCAAACGGG